rnacentral:rRNA from 1 species
UGAGGAAUAUUGGACAAUGGAUGGAAAUCUGAUCCAGCCAUGCCGCGUGCAGGAAGAAUGUCCUAUGGAUUGUAAACUGCUUUUGUAUGGGAGCAAUAAGGUCUUCGUGAAGGCCGAUGAGAGUACCAUACGAAUAAGCACCGCCUAACUCCGUGCCAGCAGCCGCGGUAAUACGGAGGGUGCAAGCGUUAUCCGGAUUUGUUGGGUUUACAGGGUGCGUAGGCGGGUAUAUAAGUCAGCGGUGAAAUUUUUCGGCUCAACCGGAAACAUGCCGUUGAUACUGUAUAGCUUGAAUAUGGUGGCUGUGAGUGGAAUGUGUAGUGUAGCGGUGAAAUGCUUAGAUAUUACACAGAAUAUCGAUUGCGAAGGCAACUCACAAAGCCAAUAUUGACGCUGAGGCACGAAAGUGUGGGGAUCAAACA